AUGAACGCUAGCGGCAGGCUUAACCCCUGCAAGUCGAGGGGCAGCGCGGGAUAGCAAUAUCCUGGCGGCGACCGGCGGAAGGGUGCGUAACGCGUGAGCGACAUGCCCGUUGCCCGGGGACAACCGGUGGAAACGCCGACUAAUCCCCGAUGCGAUACGAUGCUUCAUGGCAUUGUAUUGAAAGUUACGGCGGCGACGGAUUGGCUCGCGUCCGAUUAGCUGGUUGGCGGGGUAACGGCCCACCAGGGCUGCGAUCGGUAGGGGUUCUGAGAGGAAGGCCCCCCACAAUGGGACUGAGACACGGCCCAUACUCCUACGGGAGGCAGCAGUGAGGAAUAUGAGUCAAUGGGCGGAAGCCUGAACCAGCCAUGCCGCGUGCGGGAAGGAGGCCCUAUGGGCUGUGAACCGCUUUUGCCUGGGGGCAAUAAGGGCGUCGCGCACGUCCGAUGAGAGUACCAGGCGAAUAAGCAUCGGCUAACUCCGUG
rnacentral:rRNA from 1 species